rnacentral:lncRNA from 1 species
UCUUCAGCUUGACGCUCUGCUUGCAAUUUUUCAAAUAAACUGCAGAAAACCAUCAAAUAAACCUUUGAAUUUUCAGUUCCAAGCAAAACCCAGAAAGUAAAAGAUUACUAAUAUCAAGAAAAGGGAAAAUAUUACCCUUUAAAAGUCAGAAAAAGCUACCUUGUUUCACGUGGAAGAAAUAGCUCCAAAACAAAAAAUAACUGAUUUUACACUACGCAAUUCUUAGUUGUACAAAGACAAAGCAAGCCAUAAAAAUAGAUACCCACAAAUCUAAACAGAGAAAUGAGAAACACAACUAAUUGAAAUUUGGUUGCUAAUGGCGUAAGCCACGUUUAGUUUGGAAAAUUUUGACAUCAAAAUCUCGGAUUUGCGUGGUAGGUCCCAAUAUUGGCCAAUAUGUGCUACAUUUCCAUGGUCUAAUCAAAGACAAACAGAUAGAGCCAAACAUAUACAUAUAGUUUAGGUGUACGUAUAGGUAGAGAGAGAAAGAGAAAUAUGUGAACUGGUACGCACAACAGGCCCUCGACUCAAUGCCCACUAGGCACCACGACCACACCAGGAACCCCACUCAUAUGCAAAAAAUCAGAAACUUCAGCUCAGAGUAGGCAGCAGGCUCGAUUUGGAAGUGAUUUUGAAAAUUGAUUUUCUAAUCGUUAUGAGAAAAAUGGAGCCUAUCUAUAAGAGAAGAAGUCCAAUUUUAUGGCUGAAAUAGUGAAAUAACGAUCAAAAAAUCAAUUUUUUGAAAUGAAAAGCCACACCCAAACGAGCUCCAAAAACGAAAGACAAAAUGGGCCCUAGAUUUCUUUCAAACAUGUGACUUCCAUACAUAUUUAUAGGAUGAGGUUCUCAACCUUUCAUAUGUGUCACAAAUGUUUCAAAACUCUUACUUGUCUUCAAAAUACAUUUUUCUUUCUUUUUUUCAAUCAAAUAUUUUUCAAUAAAAUAAUAUUACACGUAAAUCUAAUUUUUUUCUUAUUUUUAACCACACAUUGUCCAUCAAUCUACUAUUCUAAAAUACACUUUACACAAAAAAAAAAUGCAUGAACAGGUAGACCCAUGUGAUGUAUGACUUAAAAGGUAAAUUCGUCCUAAAAUUAUUUCUAUUAUUUUAAAAACUAAACAAUAACUGUUCAAAUUACAAUAGAAAUUGCUCUUUUUUAGAAUUUUACUAUUUCAGUCAGACAUCACUUGCAUGUUGACACAAAUUCUUAAAAGAUUGAGAACAUGGAUGCCUCGAGUGGAAUGAUAGGGACAUAUUAGUCACAUUUAUGGAAGAUCGCAGACAUAAAGACAUUGACAAAUGUGUUAUAUAUAUGAAAUGAUAAGAAAUGAAUGGUUACAUUAAUGUCUUUAUGUCUCCGAUCUUCCACAAGUGUGACAAAUACGUGUAUAUCUAUGAAAUGAUAAGAAAGGAAUGGUUAUUAUUUAUAGGUAGAUGGAGACAUUUUGUUUAGUUUUCUGAUUUUGCGUUAGUACUGUCGAAGGGUCAAAAGGACAAUGGUGCUAGGACAUUUAAUGAAUAUUAUUUUAAUAUUUUCUAUCUCAAAAUACAAGAAGUGGUACUUUUAUUAAACAGAGCCACAAUAUUUUUCUUAUUUAUUAUAAAAUCAACACAAAAGAUAUUAUCUUUUCGCUCAAUUUUCUGUCUUUCUUUAAAUUUGGGAAAAGUCAGUGACACUUUCCUUUCACUUUCCUUGUUUCUUUAGUCCAAUGGUUGAAUUUGGUUGGUCGUAGAGGAAUGGUUUAGAAUAAAGAUAGUGGAGUUCAAAUGUGUGGCCCUUAUGUUCCUUUUACUAUUUCUCUAGUAUAAUUUUUAUUUUAUUUUAUUUUUUUUAUGAUGGGGAACCCACAGUCGCUAUUUUUUGGGUGCGUACUGAAUAAAUUCUCGAACAACGCAAUAGCCUACAAGUCAUGUCAGCCAGUUAAAACGCACUAGGCAAACUCGAUGUAACAGACUCAACCGACAAAAUAUUGGUAGCGGGAAUCGAACUCAUGAUCAAAGACCUCUGCGCUCACCUACUCCACCAACUCGACCACACCAUGAGGGACUUCUCUAGUAUAAUUUUGACAUUGCACUACAAUAUGUUACCCACAAAUUAUUUUGAAAUAAAUUGACUUAACAUAACUACCCAAUCAACUACAUUUGAAUUUAUGUGAAAAACGGGUGAAGGUGAGAAUUAAAAACUCUUGAAUUAGUACGAUCAUAAACACAGAAUCUAGAAAUUGUAGUCACUACUUCACAAACCAAGAAUAAAUGUCAAGAAUCGUCAUAUACAAUGCCCUUGUUUGAGCCCCAUUUUUUUUGAAAAAAUACAUUCUUAAAUAGUGUUUUGAUAUCAUUUCAAUCAAACAUUUUUCAAUAAAAUAAUAUUACACGAAAAUCUAAAACUUUUUCUUAUUUUUUAACCACAUAUUUCACAUCAUUACACUAUUCAAAAAUACAUUUUCUUAGCAAAAAUGGAACUCAAACAAGGGCUAUAUUCUAGUUUGUUUAUAUAAUUCUAUCUUGAAUAUCAAAAAAUGAUCUAUUUAAACUUUAGCAUACAAUUUAUAAUUGUUAGUCAAUCGUGCAUUUCAUCAUAAAAUACAUAUUGCGAACGUAAAUGUGAAUUUGAAAUCAAGGGGGAAGACGCCAAUUAAAAAAGAAUAAUGUUAUUUGCAGUCGCUCACUACGACAGUUGCCCUACGUGGCAUACACAUAGCAAGUGGUUAUUUGAUGCAUUAAUGAAUAAAAAAACUAUCUUAUUAAUAUAUCAAAUAAUCACCCGCCAUGUGAAUGUCACGUAGGGAGAUUACCGCAGUGAACGACUAUGAAUAACAUUACUCAUUAAAAAAAUGGAUUGAUGGGGAAAUAUUUGUUGCUACUUAUCCAACAACCCCUGGAAAAAAUUGAACAAACAUUUGUAAUCUUUUGAAAUUCAACAAUUCAAAAUUCAAAGCCUACACUAUUUCAGACUUAGGUUAAAAUAAAAAUAAAUAAAUUUCUGCUACCUAAUACCGAGAUCCAAGAUUCACUGUACAGACGUUUGGGAAAGUAUAGAAUCGAUAUAGGUCCAUAAAAACACAUGUGUAUUGUUAUUUUACUUUAUUAUCAAAAUAAGUAAUUUUUAUUUAAGAUCUACGAAAUUUUGUGAAAUAAGUAUUUAAGUUGAUUAUAUUGUNUUAUAUCUUCACUUCUCUUAACUUCAAAGAUAAUUAGAUAAACAUGAAAAAACUGAACAAAUUACGUUACCGAAAGUAUAUUUCAACUCAAAAAUAAAAAACAAUUGCUCGCCUAAACCAUAAAAUUGAUGAUUCAAACCCUCUUCAGCUUGACGCUCUGCUUGCAAUUUUUCAAAUAAACUGCAGAAAACCAUCAAAUAAACCUUUGAAUUUUCAGUUCCAAGCAAAACCCAGAAAGUAAAAGAUUACUAAUAUCAAGAAAAGGGAAAAUAUUACCCUUUAAAAGUCAGAAAAAGCUACCUUGUUUCACGUGGAAGAAAUAGCUCCAAAACAAAAAAUAACUGAUUUUACACUACGCAAUUCUUAGUUGUACAAAGACAAAGCAAGCCAUAAAAAUAGAUACCCACAAAUCUAAACAGAGAAAUGAGAAACACAACUAAUUGAAAUUUGGUUGCUAAUGGCGUAAGCCACGUUUAGUUUGGAAAAUUUUGACAUCAAAAUCUCGGAUUUGCGUGGUAGGUCCCAAUAUUGGCCAAUAUGUGCUACAUUUCCAUGGUCUAAUCAAAGACAAACAGAUAGAGCCAAACAUAUACAUAUAGUUUAGGUGUACGUAUAGGUAGAGAGAGAAAGAGAAAUAUGUGAACUGGUACGCACAACAGGCCCUCGACUCAAUGCCCACUAGGCACCACGACCACACCAGGAACCCCACUCAUAUG